UACGGAGGGUGCAAGCGUUGUUCGGAAUCACUGGGCGUAAAGCGCGUGUAGGCGGCCUCCUCAGUCUGGUGUGAAAGCCCGGGGCUCACCCCCGGAAGUGCAUCGGAUACUGGGAGACUGGAGUACCGGAGAGGAGGGUGGAAUUCCUGGUGUAGCGGUGAAAUGCGUAGAUAUCUGGAGGAAUACCGGUGGCGAAGGCGGCAUCCUGGACCGACAUUGACGCUGAGGAGCGAAAGCUAGGGGAGCAAACGGG
rnacentral:rRNA from 1 species